rnacentral:rRNA from 1 species
GACGAACGCUGGCGGCGUGCUUAACACAUGCAAGUCGUACGGUAAGGCCCUUUCGGGGGUACACGAGUGGCGAACGGGUGAGUAACACGUGAGUAACCUGCCCACAACUUUGGGAUAACGCUAGGAAACUGGUGCUAAUACUGGAUAUGUGCUACUUCUGCAUGGUGGGGGUUGGAAAGCUCCGGCGGUUGUGGCUGGACUCGCGGCCUAUCAGCUUGUUGGUGGGGUAGUGGCCUACCAAGGCGGCGACGGGUCGCCGGCCUGAGAGGGUGACCGGCCACAUUGGGACUGAGAUACGGCCCAGACUCCUACGGGAGGCAGCAGUGGGGAAUAUUGCACAAGGGGCGCAAGCCGGAUGCAGCAACGCCGCGUGCGGGAUGACGGCCUUCGGGUUGUAAACCGCUUUCAGCAGGGACGAAGCUUUUUGUGACGGUACCUGCAGAAGAAGCACCGGCUAACUACGUG